rnacentral:rRNA from 1 species
UGGGGAUAUUGCACAAUGGGGGAAACCCGUAGUAUGCAGCGACGCCGCGUGAGUGAAGAAGUAUUUCGGUAUGUAAAGCUCUAUCAGCAGGAAAGAUAAUGACGGUACCUGACUAAGAAGCCCCGGCUAACUACGUGCCAGCAGCCGCGGUAAUACGUAGGGGGCAAGCGUUAUCCGGAUUUACUGGGUGUAAAGGGAGCGUAGACGGAAAGGCAAGUCUGAUGUGAAAAUCCGGGGCUCAACCGCGGAACUGCAUUGGAAACUGUUUUUCUUGAGUGCCGGAGGGGUAAGCGGAAUUCCUAGUGUAGCGGUGAAAUGCGUAGAUAUUAGGAGGAACACCAGUGGCGAAGGCGGCUUACUGGACGGUAACUGACGUUGAGGCUCGAAAGCGUGGGGAGCAAACAGGAUUAGAUACCCUGGUAGU